rnacentral:tmRNA from 2 species
GGGGGCGAUCGGCUUCGACGGGGGACUCGAAAUCGCUGGGUGCAUGUCGAGGAGGUAGCUUCCCUCGUUAAUCCAGCUGCAAAACUUUAGUUGCCAACGACGACAACUACGCACUGGCCGCUUAAGGCCUAAGCCCCGACUGCGCUUAUGCUGAUGUUCGCAAAAGCCGGGUCACUAUCAUCAGAUAAGCGCUGCCCUUCGUCUGGGGGUCAGCGACGAAAACCUACAGACUGGUGGCCGGGUAAGCGCGCGUUUCGGCAUCCCGACCAUGAGAACCAAAGAAACGCUACACAUGUAGUACCUGGGACGUAGAGCUUUCGGACGCGGGUUCGAUUCCCGCCGCCUCCACCA